rnacentral:rRNA from 1 species
UACUCCUGACUGACCGAUAGUGAACCAGUACCGUGAGGGAAGGCGAAAAGAACCCCGGCGAGGGGAGUGAAACAGAACCUGAAACCGUGUACGUACAAGCAGUGGGAGCCUUCGUAAGAGGGUGACUGCGUACCUUUUGUAUAAUGGGUCAGCGACUUAUAUUCUGUAGCAAGGUUAACCGUAUAGGGGAGCCGAAGGGAAACCGAGUCUUAAUUGGGCGUUAAGUUGCAGGGGUAUAGACCCGAAACCCGGUGAUCUAGCCAUGGGCAGGUUGAAGGUUGGGUAACACUAACUGGAGGACCGAACCGACUAAUGUUGAAAAAUUAGCGGAUGACCUGUGGCUGGGGGUGAAAGGCCAAUCAAACCGGGAGAUAGCUGGUUCUCCCCGAAAGCUAUUUAGGUAGCGCCUCGUGAACUCAUCUCCGGGGGUAGAGCACUGUUUCGGCUAGGGGGCCAUCCCGGCUUACCAACCCGAUGCAAACUGCGAAUACCGGAGAAUGUUAUCACGGGAGACACACGGCGGGUGCUAACGUCCGUCGUGAAGAGGGAAACAACCCAGACCGCCAGCUAAGGUCCCAAAGUCAUGGUUAAGUGGGAAACGAUGUGGGAAGGCCCAGACAGCCAGGAUGUUGGCUUAGAAGCAGCCAUCAUUUAAAGAAAGCGUAAUAGCUCACUGGUCGAGUCGGCCUGCGCGGAAGAUGUAACGGGGCUAAACCAUGCACCGAAGCUGCGGCAGCGACACUAUGUGUUGUUGGGUAGGGGAGCGUUCUGUAAGCCUGCGAAGGUGUGCUGUGAGGCAUGCUGGAGGUAUCAGAAGUGCGAAUGCUGACAUAAGUAACGAUAAAGCGGGUGAAAAGCCCGCUCGCCGGAAGACCAAGGGUUCCUGUCCAACGUUAAUCGGGGCAGGGUGAGUCGACCCCUAAGGCGAGGCCGAAAGGCGUAGUCGAUGGGAAACAGGUUAAUAUUCCUGUACUUGGUGUUACUGCGAAGGGGGACGGAGAAGGCUAUGUCGGCCGGGCGACGGUUGUCCCGGUUUAAGCGUGUAGGCUGACUUUCCAGGCAAAUCCGGAAGGUUAAGGCUGAGGCGUGAUGACGAGGCACCACGGUGCUGAAGUGACAAAUGCCCUGCUUCCAGGAAAAGCCUCUAAGCAUCAGGUAACAUCAAAUCGUACCCCAAACCGACACAGGUGGUCAGGUAGAGAAUACCAAGGCGCUUGAGAGAACUCGGGUGAAGGAACUAGGCAAAAUGGUGCCGUAACUUCGGGAGAAGGCACGCUGACAUGUAGGUGAAGCCCCUGCGGGUGGAGCUGAAGUCAGUCGAAGAUACCAGCUGGCUGCAACUGUUUAUUAAAAACACAGCACUGUGCAAACACGAAAGUGGACGUAUACGGUGUGACGCCUGCCCGGUGCCGGAAGGUUAAUUGAUGGGGUUAUCGCAAGAGAAGCUCCUGAUCGAAGCCCCGGUAAACGGCGGCCGUAACUAUAACGGUCCUAAGGUAGCGAAAUUCCUUGUCGGGUAAGUUCCGACCUGCACGAAUGGCGUAAUGAUGGCCAGGCUGUCUCCACCCGAGACUCAGUGAAAUUGAACUCGCUGUGAAGAUGCAGUGUACCCGCGGCAAGACGGAAAGACCCCGUGAACCUUUACUACAGCUUGACACUGAACAUUGAGCCUUGAUGUGUAGGAUAGGUGGGAGGCUUUGAAGCGUGGACGCCAGUCUGCGUGGAGCCAACCUUGAAAUACCACCCUUUAAUGUUUGAUGUUCUAACCUGGCGCCGUGAUCCGGCGUGGGGACAGUGUCUGGUGGGUAGUUUGACUGGGGCGGUCUCCUCCCAAAGUGUAACGGAGGAGCACGAAGGUCAGCUAAUCCUGGUCGGACAUCAGGAGGUUAGUGCAAUGGCAUAAGCUGGCUUGACUGCGAGAGUGACGGCUCGAGCAGGUGCGAAAGCAGGUCAUAGUGAUCCGGUGGUUCUGUAUGGAAGGGCCAUCGCUCAACGGAUAAAAGGUACUCCGGGGAUAACAGGCUGAUACCGCCCAAGAGUUCAUAUCGACGGCGGUGUUUGGCACCUCGAUGUCGGCUCAUCACAUCCUGGGGCUGAAGUAGGUCCCAAGGGUAUGGCUGUUCGCCAUUUAAAGUGGUACGCGAGCUGGGUUUAGAACGUCGUGAGACAGUUCGGUCCCUAUCUGCCGUGGGCGCUGGAGAAUUGAGGGGGGCUGCUCCCAGUACGAGAGGACCGGAGUGGACGCAUCACUGGUGUUCGGGUUGUCAUGCCAAUGGCACUGCCCGGUAGCUAAAUGCGGAAGAGAUAAGUGCUGAAAGCAUCUAAGCACGAAACUUGCCCCGAGAUGAGUUCUCCCUGAGACUGUAAGUCUCCUGAAGGAACGUUGAAGACGACGACGUUGAUAGGCCGGGUGUGUAAGCGCAGCGAUGCGUUGAGCUAACCGGUACUAAUGAACCGUGAGGCUUAACCUU